UACCGAGGUGGCAAGCGUUGUUCGGAAUUACUGGGCGUAAAGGGCGCGUAGGCGGCCUUAUAAGUCAGACGUGAAAUCCCCCGGCUUAACCUGGGAACUGCGUCUGAUACUGGGAGGCUUGAGUAUGGGAGAGGGAUGUAGAAUUCCAGGUGUAGCGGUGAAAUGCGUAGAUAUCGAGAGGAACACCAGUGGCGAAGGCGAGUCCCUGGACAACACCUGACACUGAGGCACGAAAGCUAGGGGAGCAAACAGG
rnacentral:rRNA from 1 species